GACGUAGGGCGCGAGCGUUGUCCGGAUUUAUUGGGCGUAAAGAGCUCGUAGGCGGCUUGUCGCGUCGACCGUGAAAACCCGCGGCUCAACCGUGUGGCUUGCAGUCGAUACGGGCAGGCUAGAGUUCGGUAGGGGAGACUGGAAUUCCUGGUGUAGCGGUGAAAUGCGCAGAUAUCAGGAGGAACACCGGUGGCGAAGGCGGGUCUCUGGGCCGAUACUGACGCUGAGGAGCGAAAGCGUGGGGAGCGAACAGG
rnacentral:rRNA from 1 species